rnacentral:rRNA from 1 species
CAGUAGCCACGGUAAUACGAAGGGUGCAAGCGUUACUCGGAAUUACUGGGCGUAAAGCGUGCGUAGGUGGUGGUUUAAGUCCGUUGUGAAAGCCCUGGGCUCAACCUGGGAAUUGCAGUGGAUACUGGGUCACUAGAGUGUGGUAGAGGAUAGUGGAAUUUCCGGUGUAGCAGUGAAAUGCGUAGAGAUCGGAAGGAACAUCUGUGGCGAAGGCGACUAUCUGGCCAACACUGACACUGAGGCACGAAAGCGUGGGGAGCAAACAGGAUUAGAUACCCCGGUAGUCCCUGUCUCUUAUACA